CCUACGGGAGGCAGCAGUAGGGAAUAUUGGGCAAUGGACGAGAGUCUGACCCAGCCAUGCCGCGUGCAGGAUGAAGGCCUUCUGGGUUGUAAACUGCUUUUAUCUAGGAAGAAAAUACCCUUGCGAGGGGAACUGACGGUACUAGGUGAAUAAGCACCGGCUAACUCCGUGCCAGCAGCCGCGGUAAUACGGAGGGUGCAAGCGUUGUCCGGAUUUAUUGGGUUUAAAGGGUGCGUAGGCGGCCCAUUAAGUCCGUGGUGAAAGCCAACAGCUCAACUGUUGAACUGCCAUGGAUACUGAUGGGCUUGAGUACAGACGAGGUAGGCGGAAUGGAUGCUGUAGCGGUGAAAUGCAUAGAUAGCAUCCAGAACACCGAUUGCGUAGGCAGCUUACUAGGCUGUAACUGACGCUGAGGCACGAAAGCGUGGGGGGCGAACAGGAUUAGAUACCCUGGUAGUCCA
rnacentral:rRNA from 1 species